UAAUACGGAGGGGGCCAGCGUUGUUCGGAAUUAUUGGGCGUAAAGGGCGCGCAGGCGGUCGCGCAAGUCGGUUGUGAAAUCCCCUGGCUUACCCAGGGAACUGCAUCCGAUACUGCGUGACUUGAGUCCGGGAGAGGAGAGUGGAAUUCCCAGUGUAGCGGUGGAAUGCGUAGACAUUGGGAGGAACACCAGUGGCGAAGGCGGCUCUCUGGACCGGUUCUGACGCUGAGGCGCGAAAGCUAGGGGAGCAAACAGGAUUAGAUACCCUGGUAGUCUUAGCUGUAAACGAUGGGCACUUGGUGUUGCGGGUGUUGACCCCUGCAGUGCCGGAGCUAACGCGAUAAGUGCCCCGCCUGGGGAGUACGGUCGCAAGGCUG
rnacentral:rRNA from 1 species